rnacentral:snRNA from 13 species
AGCUUUGCGCAGUGGCAGUAUCGUAGCCAAUGAGGUUUAUCCGAGGCGCGAUUAUUGCUAAUUAAAGCAGCAAGAGAGAAAUGAGACCUUAUUUAUAAGGCAAAAAAAUUAGAAUGACAGUGAAUUUCCCAUCAAA